GAUCCUGGCUCAGGAUGAACGCUGGCGGCGUGCUUAACACAUGCAAGUCGAGCGAAGCAUUUUUCCGGAAUCUUUCGGGAGGAAGGGAAUCUGACUUAGCGGCGGACGGGUGAGUAACGCGUGGGCAACCUGCCCCAUACCGGGGGAUAACAGUCAGAAAUGACUGCUAAUACCGCAUAAGCGCACAGUACCGCAUGGUACGGUGUGAAAAACUCCGGUGGUAUGGGAUGGGCCCGCGUUGGAUUAGGCAGG
rnacentral:rRNA from 1 species